rnacentral:lncRNA from 1 species
GGGGCAUAUUUGCAUGCUACAUUAUUGUGCUUUGAUCAUUCAUGAAUUUCAUCAGAAACUUAGGAACUUUAGCUCCUAGUUGAAAAUAGUUGCUAGUUUUUGGAAAUCGUUACCUUACCCUCAUUGCCAAAGGUCUUUCAGAAAUGUACAGGGAAAAAAAUGCCAGAAAAAGAAUUUUCAGGAAAAGUGGGACAGUCAUUAGGAAGAACAUGAAUACGGAAGGCAGGGGCAACAGAGAAGCAAAACAGAACUUGGGAAGUGUAAAAAAGCAUUAACAAAAUGAGCACAUGUCUGUGAUCUGGCCAGGGUUGUAUCCAGGGACUGACCAUCCAAAAGGCACAAUAGACAUGAGGAAGUUGGUUAACUGUCUGUGGUACUCUCAAGAAAGUCAGAAGACAGCUAUGUGUUGGGGUGAGAGGCAGGCAGGGAAAGUGUUACACCUGGGAGGCAAGAGGAAGUGUGCAUUAAUGUCUCAUGCGCUUUACAGGACAAGAUCUCACCCUAGUUACAAGUGCGCAAACCCGCCCACAAAAUCAGCAGUAGCCUGGUAAGUAAGGGAGGGGGAGGACAGAGCUCAUCUCUUAAGUGACAAUCAAUCAGCCCCCAGAACAUGAAGUAGGUCACAAAGCAUAAGAACCAAGACCAGAAGUCUAGGAGAGGAGAAUAUUCACUAGAAGCAAACUGAGG